rnacentral:RNase_P_RNA from 1 species
CGAGCCGGGCAGACAAUCGCGCCCAUUUGGGUGAGGAAAGUCCGAGCUCCGCAAAGCAGGAUGCCGGUUAACGGCCGGUGGAGGCGACUCCAAGGACAGUGCAACAGAAAUAAACCGCCUCUUUUGAGGUAAGGGUGGAAAGGCGGUGUAAGAGACCACCGCGAUUGCGGUAACGCAAUCGGCUCUGUAAACCCCAUCCGGAGCAAGUUCGAAAUUAGACAUAAAAGGGUCGCUUGCCCCGUCUAAAGGUAAAGAACGCAUGAGGUCGUCGGUGACGACGGCACGAGAUAGAUGAUUGUCAAAUACAGAACUCGGCUUACAGCCCGACUCGAUUU